AAAAAUGGAUGCUGUCGAUCAAGGGGAGGGUCGUAACCCCACCUGGUGCUCACAUGGUGGACUUCACCACUGCCUUGGCCGCUCUCUUCGCCUGUUACGUAUUCAACCUACAGUAUUAGGUGGAAGCCAGCACAACACUGGAGUUUAAUCAGAGGGCUCCAAAUAGGAUUCUCUGUCUCCAAGGUCAAGGCAUGCAAGAGGCCACAGACCUUUGCCAAGUGGCAGGGGAAGUUUAUUUUCCUUUCUGUUUUAAAUGUUCAUGCAAAUGUUAAAUAUAUAUUUUUUUAAUGUUCAAUGUUUUAUUUUAUUUCAAUAUUGCCAUAAUGUUAUUUAUUGCUCUUUAGAAUGGGGUAAUCAGUUAUUUGCACAACUUCAAAGUAGUUAAAUUUUUUGACUGUAUUGUAUCAAUUUGCAUUAUUGUUCCAUUAUAGCAACUAGUCAUACGGAACUAGUGAAUGAACUAGUAACAGUUUGCUCUGUAACUUUACAAAUCUUGUAAUGAAAUAGGCUCGUUGUAUCAAUUUGUAUUAGCCUAUUGUUCCGUCAUAGCAACCUGUCAUACAGAACUAUUGAAUGAACUAAUAACAAUUUGCU